rnacentral:lncRNA from 1 species
CCCGCGCCCCCUGCCGGUGCCCUCCCCGCCCGGCCCUAGCUCUCUCGCCUUCUCGCCCGCCCGGCGCUGGCCCUGCUGGAUCCUGCGCGCCGGGGACUGGGGGCUGGCAGUGCAGACCGAACCCGGGGCCGAGGGGCUUCUCCACAGAGCCGCCUGGGGCUCGGUGGGGGGCGCUCAGCUCGACCCCAGCUAAGGGAGCACUAGGAAGUGCGGGCGUCCCCUUCCCUGCACCCUUGCGGGGCGGGAACCGUCGACCUAGAAGAAAAAAAAAGCUGAGGCAAACUUGAUAUAAGUAGAGAGGUUAUUUGGGCCAAGUUUGAAGAUUGCAACCCGGGAGCAUAGCUUCAAGUUGCCCUGAACAUAGGAUUUGCAACAGUGACAAAGGUGAGGCCAGAGAAGUGACAAGACAGAUGCCAGUCCAGCAGGUGGGCAUGUCCAGAAAGUGCAGCCUCAGGACACGGUCUGGGAACAAAGACUGCUGGAGAGUUGGAAGCUGGCAAGAGGCUCUCAGCUGUGAAGUACCUGGGGUGGGGGAGAAGUGGUCGGAGAAAGCAGAGUCUUGAGUAUGUCUUUAUCUGAAGCAUGAAAACGGACUAAUAUACCCAGGUUGGAGUGCAGUGGCGCCAUCUUGACUUACUGCAGCCUUGACCUCCAGCUUUCAAACGAUCCUCCUCCCUUGGCCUCCCAAAGUGUUGGGGUCACAGGUGUGAACCACCAUGUCCAGCCAGCCCUUGGGUUUUGAGAUGCUCAAGUUACAGAGAAGCAACAUUUUGAAUAAAUCCACAAAAGCGUAGAAGAUCAUCUCAUCGGUUUCUGUGUGUGAAGUUUCAUGCUUAUCUAACUGCAUUUAGGAAAAUUCACGUGUACAUUUUUCCCAAGGGGAGCGAGAGGAUGUGAGCGUUCUACUUGUUCAUUUCAUAUCUGCUUUUACAAAUUCAUAGGGAGGGUGAGGAAGGAGCUGUGGUUCUCAUUGCGACUGAUGUUUGAUUAUUUGAUUCAGGAAUUUCACUUCUGGGAACUUGACUUAGGGAAAUGCUCUCAGAGACGCGUGCGAUGUUGUUUGUAACAAGCACAUGUGGAGAUGUCCCGGGCCCCUCAUGAGGCGGCUGCUUGUGUCCGUUUGUACCUCUUGCCAGCUGUGCAGUGUCGCUCAGCUCCCAGAAGGAGGGAGGCAGGUCCAGGCAUUGAUGGUUAGUUUUGUUUUUUUUUUUGAGAAGGAGUCUCCC